GGCGGACGGGUGAGUAACACGUGGGCAACCUGCCUGUAAGACUGGGAUAACUUCGGGAAACCGGAGCUAAUACCGGAUAAUCCUUUUCCUCUCAUGAGGAAAAGCUGAAAGACGGUUUCGGCUGUCACUCACAGAUGGGCCCGCGGCGCAUUAGCUAGUUGGUGAGGUAACGGCUCACCAAGGCGACGAUGCGUAGCCGACCUGAGAGGGUGAUCGGCCACACUGGGACUGAGACACGGCCCAGACUCCUACGGGAGGCAGCAGUAGGGAAUCUUCCGCAAUGGACGAAAGUCUGACGGAGCAACGCCGCGUGAGCGAUGAAGGCCUUCGGGUCGUAAAGCUCUGUUGUCAGGGAAGAACAAGUAUCGGAGUAACUGCCGGUACCUUGACGGUACCUGACCAGAAAGCCACGGCUAACUACGUGCCAGCAGCCGCGGUAAUACGUAGGUGGCAAGCGUUGUCCGGAAUUAUUGGGCGUAAAGCGCGCGCAGGCGGUUCCUUAAGUCUGAUGUGAAAGCCCCCGGCUCAACCGGGGAGGGUCAUUGGAAACUGGGGAACUUGAGUGCAGAAGAGGAGAGCGGAAUUCCACGUGUAGCGGUGAAAUGCGUAGAGAUGUGGAGGAACACCAGUGGCGAAGGCGGCUCUCUGGUCUGUAACUGACGCUGAGGCGCGAAAGCGUGGGGAGCGAACAGGAUUAGAUACCCUGGUAGUCCACGCCGUACACGAUGAGUGCUAAGUGUUAGAGGGUUUCCGCCCUUUAGUGCUGCAGCAAACGCAUUAAGCACUCC
rnacentral:rRNA from 1 species